GUGGACGAGGAAUCCCACUCCGUCAGAGGUCGAGUUCGGCUGCCUAUUUAAAUAUAGGCACGGACAAGUGUGCUUAGUCGUUAGGACAAGAGGACACUCUGGAAUCCUGUUGGGAGGUGGAAUCAGAUGGUCCAUCUCAUCCCAAAAGCAGCUAAGGUUAAGCUGCAGUUUGGGCCACGUACUGAAGGUACCAGGCAUCUGUGAAAGUUGGUUAUAAGAUGCUUUGUCUUGAUAUUGUUUGUCUGGCUUGUUUUCUGUGGUAUUGUCGAGUGUCUUUUUGGCUUUUGUUUCGUUUUUGAAUUUUGGACUGACGACUGUGUUUGAAUUUUGGACUGACGACUGUGUUUGAAAUCAUGAAACUGUUUGCUUUGUUCGUCAUAGAGUUUUACUUGGUCCUCUUGGUGCUUAAGUUAAAAGUUAAAAAUAAUUUGCUUGAGAGAAAUUGUUUUCUGCCAGGGAGUUUUGUCUUUCUCUCUUGAGCCUCCUCCCCAAGGAGAGAGACCCCUCCCUUUACUCCCUUUGAUCAGCCUAGCUGCUGUUAACAGUUGUGUAAACAGACAUUAACAAAAACCUUGAGGACAAAACCUCUCGUAAAUAAAAAAGUUCCCCAGAUUAGGCCUCCGGUAUGAAACAAGUAUAGUGAGUAAGAAACUUAAUUUUAUGGACCCCGCUCUAGUGGCGGUGUGUUGGUUGAUAGCCAACGUUAAGUUUUUAAAACAUAGUGUUUUAUCUGUGCUUGUGCUCGCAACACACAGUAGGGGGGAGCGAAAUUAGCUGCGGAGCUGCUACAGCGAGCAUGGGGACUUCUCAAGUCUCA
rnacentral:lncRNA from 1 species